UUCAGCGCCACUGUAGAAGAUGUGCAAGAUGAGGAGAUCACAAAAGUUCUACAUCAGGUCCUGAAAGCUGAAUCAGAGGAGUCUUUGCAUAAUCUUAUUUUG